rnacentral:ncRNA from 1 species
CAACCUCAACUCAUAUGGGACUACCCCCUGAAUUUAAGCAUAUUAAUUAGGGGAGGAAAAGAAACUAACAAGGAUUUUCUUAGUAGCGGCGAGCGAAAAGAAAUCAGUUCAGCACUAAGUCACUUUAUCUAUAUGGCAAAUGUGAGAUGCAGUGUACGGAACAUCAACAUUCUAGUAUGAGAAGUUAACGAUUUAAGUCCUUCUUAAAUGAGGCCAUUUACCCAUAGAGGGUGCCAGGCCCGUAUAACGUUAAUGAUUACUAGAUGGUGUUUCCAAAGAGUCGUGUUGCUUGAUAGUGCAGCACUAAGUGGGUGGUAAACUCCAUCUAAAACUAAAUAUAACCAUGAGACCGAUAGUAAACAAGUACCGUGAGGGAAAGUUGAAAAGAACUCUGAAUAGAGAGUUAAAUAGUACGUGAAACUACUUAGAGGUUAAGCCCGAUGAACCUGAAUAUCCGUUAUGGAAAAUUCAUCAUUAGAAUUGUAAUAUUUUAAACAAUAUUAUAAUAAUAGUGUGCAUUUUUUCCAUAUAAGGACAUUGUAAUCUAUUAGCAUAAAUAUUUAUCAUAAAAUUAUGUCUGAUUGCUUAUUUGAAUUAUAUGCUUGGCAUUUUAACAUAAAAUAAAAGAUAUAAAUUUGAUAAAGUGCUGAUAGAUUUAUAUGAUUACAGUGCGUUAAUUUUUCGGAAUUAUAUAAUGGCAUAAUUAUCAUUGAUAUUUGUGUUAUUAUAGAAUCC